rnacentral:rRNA from 1 species
UUCCGGUUGAUCCCGCCGGACCUUACUGCUAUCGGGGUGGGACUAAGACAUGCGAGUCGAGCGUCUCUAGCUAUGUUGAGACGCGGCAGACGGCUCAGUAACACGUGGCUAACCUACCCUCAGGACGAGGAUAAACCCGGGAAACUGGGGCUAAUACUCGAUAGGUGAGAAUGUCUGGAAUGAUUUCUCAUUCAAAGGGCUUUAGAAACAUGCUUCUAAAGUCGCCUGGGGAUGGGGCCGCGUCCGAUCAGGUUGUUGGUGAGGUAACGGCUCACCAAGCCUAUAACCGGUACGGGCCGUGAGAGCGGUAGCCCGGAGAUGGGUACUGAGACAAGGACCCAGGCCCUACGGGGCGCAGCAGUCGCGAAAACUCCGCAAUGCACGAAAGUGUGACGGGGCUACCCCGAGUGCCAUCCGCUGAGGAUGGCUUUUCUUUGGUGUAACUAGCCGGGGGAAUAAGGAGAGGGCAAGACUGGUGUCAGCCGCCGCGGUAAUACCAGCUCUCCGAGUGGUAGGGAUGAUUAUUGGGCUUAAAGCGUCCGUAGCCGGCUUAGCAAGUCUCCUGUUAAAUUCAGCGACCUAAUCGUUGAGCCGCGGGAGAUACUACUAGGCUAGGAGGCGGGAGAGGUCGACGGUACUUCUGGGGUAGGGGUGAAAUCCUAUAAUCCCGGGAGGACCACCAGUGGCGAAGGCUGUUGACUAGAACGCGCUCGACGGUGAGGGACGAAAGCUGGGGGAGCGAACCGGAUUAGAUACCCGGGUAGUCCCAGCCGUAAACGAUGCGGGCUAGGUGUUGGGGUGGCUACGUGCCACUUCAGUGCCGCAGGGAAGCCAUUAAGCCCGCCGCCUGGGGAGUACGGCCGCAAGGCUGAAACUUAAAGGAAUUGACGGGGGAGCACCACAAGGCGUGAAGCUUGCGGUUCAAUUGGAGUCAACGCCGGG